ACUGUUGUAUGGUCAAACUAAUAAUAAAUAUUUAUUAAAUUAUUAUUUAUUUUCUUUACAAUAUCAAUAAAAAAAUAAAAUAAGUAUAACAAAUAAUAUAUAAUUACAAUCACUACAUUUAAACAUUAAUUACAACAAUUAAUAAAACAAGACAUCGUAGCCAAUAUAUUAAAAAUUUAAAAGUAUAGUGAACUGACAGUAUAGUAAAUACAAAUCUCAAUAACCUCAAAAUUACUAUAAAAUGAGUCAACUCGAAAAACAAAAAUUUAUGUUAGAGUUUAAAAAAAAUUUGGUAAAUAAGGUAAUAGACCUACAGAAUACAGUAACUAAGUAGGCCUACUUUAAAGAAAAAGAACUGUACAAGGUAUUCUACAUAAAAAGUUAACGUAAACCAAUUUUUGACAAUAUUUUACACACUUUCAGGAAGAAAGAAUGAAAUAAAAAACAUUAUUUGAAGAAUCCGAAAUAAAAAUGAAAGAAGUCGAAGAACUAAAAAAGGAAAACGAAGAACUUAAAAUACAACUUGAACAAAGGGAAUCAGGUAUACAUUAUUUAAAAAUAAUAUAUUCUAAUAAUACAUUACUUAAGUUUAUAUUUAAUUUAUUACACCGUAAUAAAAACAAUGGAGUCAAACCUAUUACAAAUAAAUAUAGAAACAAACAACAACGUUGACACUUAAGAAGUCAAUCCAAAUUUAAAUACAGACAUUGAGAUGAAUGAUACAUCAUCUGAGGCAACAGUUGAAAAUUAUGAUCUACAGAACAAUUUCCUACGAAACAACCAUUUCAAAUUCCUGAUAAAGUCAAGACUACUUUACAAAAAAAAAUAGAUGAAAUAACUAACUCUAAUAAAACUAACAUAGAGACAUUACAAAGUUCCAAAUUUACAAUGUACAAAUUUAUACGUGAACUCAUGUCAUCCAUCUUCACUAAAGAAUAUUUGAAAACACAUAAGAAAUCAUCAAAAGGAGGAAAGACAGAAACAGUACAACGAGAAGUAAUGGAACCAAAACAUUUAGAAGAAAUCGUUGAAUACACUAUUGCAGCUUGGAAACAUUUAAAUGGAGCGACAAAUGAACUCUUACGCAAACUAACCCUUAAAUGUAUUGGCCAAAUAUUGAACAACAAGGGUAGACUUCUACAAAAAAUUUAAAUUCAAAUAAAAAAAAAUACGCAACAAUAAAUUAAUGUGGAAAAAGUACUGUAUUUCUUUAAUAACAAAUUUAUAAAUAUAAUAUAAUAAAAUAACAUACAACUUAUAAUAUAAAAUAUAAAAGACAAGAACAUAUGUAGACAGGCUCAGUAAAUUAAGUAACAACAUAGAAUAUAAUUAUUUACAACAAACACAUAUAACAGAACAGUUCAACUAUAAGGAUGUCAAAAAAUUUACACUGGUCAAAAAAAUUAAAGCAACAACUAAGUGAGGUAACAAUGGAAAAAGAAAAAUUAAAAUCUGAACUUACAAUAGCAAAUGAAAAACUACGAUUCGUACACGAAAAAACAAACGAACUAGAG